rnacentral:rRNA from 1 species
GAUGAACGCUGGCGGCGUGCCUAAUACAUGCAAGUCGAGCGAACAGACGAGGAGCUUGCUCCUCUGACGUUAGCGGCGGACGGGUGAGUAACACGUGGAUAACCUACCUAUAAGACUGGGAUAACUUCGGGAAACCGGAGCUAAUACCGGAUAAUAUAUUGAACCGCAUGGUUCAAUAGUGAAAGACGGUUUUGCUGUCACUUAUAGAUGGAUCCGCGCUGCAUUAGCUAGUUGGUAAGGUAACGGCUUACCAAGGCAACGAUGCGUAGCCGACCUGAGAGGGUGAUCGGCCACACUGGAACUGAGACACGGUCCAGACUCCUACGGGAGGCAGCAGUAGGGAAUCUUCCGCAAUGGGCGAAAGCCUGACGGAGCCACGCCGCGUGAGUGAUGAAGGUCUUCGGAUCGUAAAACUCUGUUAUUAGGGAAGAACAAAUGUGUAAGUAACUAUGCACGUCUUGACGGUACCUAAUCAGAAAGCCACGGCUAACUACGUG